rnacentral:rRNA from 1 species
UACGUAGGGUGCAAGCGUUGUCCGGAAUUAUUGGGCGUAAAGAGCUCGUAGGCGGUUUGUUGCGUCGGCUGUGAAAUCCCGAGGCUCAACCUCGGGUCUGCAGUCGAUACGAGCAAACUAGAGUGUUGCAGGGGAGACUGGAAUUCCUGGUGUAGCGGUGAAAUGCGCAGAUAUCAGGAGGAACACCGGUGGCGAAGGCGGGGUCUCUGGGCAACAACUGACGCUGAGGAGCGAAAGCGUGGGGGAGCGAACAGG